rnacentral:lncRNA from 1 species
GGGAUCGAUCCUCACGGGUCCUAGUCAGAUUCAUUUCCGCUGAGCCACACAGGAACUCCCUCUCCCGUCCUUCUGUAUCACUAUAUCACCACCUCUGUCUCUGUCUCUGAAAUGGUCCCUUGCUGAGGUUCCUGUUGGUACCCAUGAGCCAGGAAGCAAAGGAAUCAGAGGCAACUCCAGUUUAAGGUGGGGCACCCAUGAAGACCACACUCAGCUACUCUAUGCCCUCCCACCACACACAGUCACAUAGAGAGACACCCGUGUGCCUGGCUCCCCUGCAGCCAUGUACCGGCACAGCCAAGCAAGUGGGAGCCCCCUCUAGACCCACUGCAGGAAACAAGUCCAACCCUGGGGCCCAGCCCUGGCUAAACAGAAGCUGGUCAGAAAGCCAGGGCCAGAAGAGAUACUGGGCCCUCCCACAUCUGCACAGUCCAGAGCCAGCACUAGAUGCUCCCAGCCACCCCGGGUGCCACAGUGUACCUGCUCCUCUCUUUCCAGAUUGGGAUCUGUGGCCGCACGGGCAGUGGGAAGUCCUCCUUCUCUCUCGCCUUCUUCCGCAUGGUGGACAUGUUCGAAGGACGCAUUAUCAUCGACGGCAUCGACAUUGCCAAACUGCCUCUGCACACCCUGCGCUCGCGCCUCUCCAUCAUCCUGCAGGACCCCGUCCUCUUCAGCGGCACCAUCCGGUGAGCUGCACCACCCCACAUCCCACCAGACCCCGCCCCACUCCUCCCGAUCUGGGGCCUGGAGAGGAGGGGUGGGCGAGGCCAGGAGCCUCCGUGGGCACUAGGUCUGGCGCUGGUUCUUCGGUGCUUCACCCUCAUGCCUUUCGCUUCCCUGUGAGGCCUGGACAGACCCUGGGAGGGGUCCCCCACCCCUCAGCCUGGGGUGCUUUCCUUCACCCACUGCCACCUUGCUGCCCCUCCCAGCCAAGCCCCCAAGUCAACCAGUUCUCUCUCACUGCACCCUUCACCAGCCUUAACCCUCUGCAUGUCCCCCGCGGAUGGAGCCAGGACACUGGUCCCCUCCCUGAGGGCUUUCUGUGUCACCCUCCAGAUUUAACCUGGACCCAGAGAAGAAGUGCUCUGACAGCACGCUGUGGGAGGCCCUGGAGAUAGCCCAGCUGAAGCUGGUGGUGAAGGCGCUGCCGGGGGGCCUCGGUAACUACUAGCUGAG